UGGGGAAUCUUGCACAAUGGGGGCAACCCUGAUGCAGCGACGCCGCGUGAGCGAUGAAGCCCUUCGGGGCGUAAAGCUCUUUCGACCGGAACGAUAAUGACGGUACCGGGAGAAGAAGCUGCGGCUAACUACGUGCCAGCAGCCGCGGUAAUACGUAGGCAGCAAGCGUUGUUCGGAGUUACUGGGCGUAAAGAGUGCGUAGGCGGUUUUCUAAGUUCGGUGUGAAAUCUCCCGGCUUAACUGGGAGGGUGCGCCGAAGACUGGGAAGCUGGAGUGUGGGAAAGGCAGGCGGAAUUCCUGGUGUAGUGGUGAAAUGCGUAGAUAUCAGGAGGAACACCGGCGGUGUAGACGGCUUGCUAGACCAUAACUGACGCUGAGGCACGAAAGCGUGGGUAGCAAACA
rnacentral:rRNA from 1 species